AUUGAACGCUGGCGGCAGGCCUAACACAUGCAAGUCGAACGAGUGGCGGACGGGUGAGUAAUGUCUGGGAAACUGCCCGAUGGAGGGGGAUAACUAAUGGAAACGGUAGCUAAUACCGCAUACCAUCAGAAGUGCCCAGAUGGGAUUAGCUAGUUGGUGGGGGAACGGCUCAACAAGGCGACGAUCCGUAGCCGGUCUGAGAGGAUGACCAGCCACACUGGAAAUGUGACACGGUCCAGACUCCUACUGGAGGCAGCAGUGGGGAAUAUUGCGCAAUGGGCGCAAGCCUGAUGCAGCCAUGCCGCGUGUAUGGAGAAGGCCUUCGGGUUGUAAAGUACGUUCAGCGGGGAGGCGUUACCCGCAGAAGAAGCACCGGCUAACUCCGUGCCAGCCGCCGAGGUAAUUC
rnacentral:rRNA from 1 species